rnacentral:rRNA from 1 species
GACGAACGCUGGCGGCGUGCUUAACACAUGCAAGUCGAACGGAAAGGCCCUGCUUUUGUGGGGUGCUCGAGUGGCGAACGGGUGAGUAACACGUGAGUAACCUGCCCUUGACUUUGGGAUAACUUCAGGAAACUGGGGCUAAUACCGGAUAGGAGCUCCUGCUGCAUGGUGGGGGUUGGAAAGUUUCGGCGGUUGGGGAUGGACUCGCGGCUUAUCAGCUUGUUGGUGGGGUAGUGGCUUACCAAGGCUUUGACGGGUAGCCGGCCUGAGAGGGUGACCGGCCACAUUGGGACUGAGAUACGGCCCAGACUCCUACGGGAGGCAGCAGUGGGGAAUAUUGCACAAUGGGCGGAAGCCUGAUGCAGCAACGCCGCGUGCGGGAUGACGGCCUUCGGGUUGUAAACCGCUUUCGCCUGUGACGAAGCGUGAGUGACGGUAAUGGGUAAAGAAGCACCGGCUAGCUACGCG